rnacentral:rRNA from 1 species
UGGGGAAUAUUGCACAAUGGGCGCAAGCCUGAUGCAGCCAUGCCGCGUGUGUGAAGAAGGCCUUCGGGUUGUAAAGCACUUUUGUCCGGAAAGAAAUCCUUGGCUCUAAUACAGUCGGGGAUGACGGUACCGGAAGAAUAAGCACCGGCUAACUACGUGCCAGCAGCCGCGGUAAUACGUAGGGUGCAAGCGUUAAUCGGAAUUACUGGGCGUAAAGCGUGCGCAGGCGGUUUGCUAAGACCGAUGUGAAAUCCCCGGGCUCAACCUGGGAACUGCAUUGGUGACUGGCAGGCUAGAGUAUGGCAGAGGGGGGUAGAAUUCCACGUGUAGCAGUGAAAUGCGUAGAGAUGUGGAGGAAUACCGAUGGCGAAGGCAGCCCCCUGGGCCAAUACUGACGCUCAUGCACGAAAGCGUGGGGAGCAAACAGGAUUAGAUACCCCUGGUAGUCCACGCCCUAAAGCGAUGUCAACUAGUUGUUGGGGAUUCAUUUCCUUAGUAACGUAGCUAACGCGUGAAGUUGACCGCCU